AGUGAACGCUGGCGGUAGGCCUAACACAUGCAAGUCGAACGGCAGCACAGUAAGAGCUUGCUCUUACGGGUGGCGAGUGGCGGACGGGUGAGGAAUACAUCGGAAUCUACUUUUUCGUGGGGGAUAACGUUGGGAAACUUACGCUAAUACCGCAUACGACCUACGGGUGAAAGCAGGGGAUCUUCGGACCUUGCGCGAUUGAAUGAGCCGAUGUCGGAUUAGCUAGUUGGCGGGGUAAAGGCCCACCAAGGCGACGAUCCGUAGCUGGUCUGAGAGGAUGAUCAGCCACACUGGAACUGAGACACGGUCCAGACUCCUACGGGAGGCAGCAGUGGGGAAUAUUGGACAAUGGGCGCAAGCCUGAUCCAGCCAUACCGCGUGGGUGAAGAAGGCCUUCGGGUUGUAAAGCCCUUUUGUUGGCAAAGAAAAGCAGCAGGUUAAUACCCCGCUGUUCUGACGGUACCCAAAGAAUAAGCACCGGCUAACUUCGUG
rnacentral:rRNA from 1 species